AUGACAUAACCUUUAAAGAGCAUGUUGUCAAAGUUAUGAAUCUUAGCAAAAUGUCAGUCAUUAACAGGUAAUAACUCCAGGGAACUGAGUAGUAAGUUAAAUCUCUGCUGUCACCACUCUAUGAUCUUAGCAGUCUCCCGUGCACAUCCUUUGGUCAUGGGCAAAGGGAAAAUGGAAGUUCAAUCUACCACUGCCUUAGAAAGCUCUCGGUGAUCUCUUCCCUGUUCUCACAUUAGGGUUUAAGUAAUCAGGUUGGUCAGUUGGAUGAGUUUCUGGUGCUUCUGAGGCAAACAUCAUGGGCUUUAACCUCAUGAAGGUAAUGGGUCCCAUCAAGGUAUUUUAACAAUCACUCAAAUAUUCUGAUAUGAUCACUUUUUUGAGAUCCACUAGAUUCAAAGAUACUUAAGAACUUUUCAUCAAUUUUCAAGUGGUAAUGAAAAAGCAAACAAAAAGAACUAAGUUGUGUAAGAUACAGAAAUAAGCAACCAAAAAGCAUUCAAGAACAGAGAGCAAAUAGUGCAUGCUUAUUCCGUAACCUCAGUACUCAGGAUGAGACAAGAUCAGAUAUUUAUGCCAGACUGGGCUAAACAGAAAGACGUCUCCAAAAAAGGGGGGAGACGGGACUGAAAAGAUGGCUCAGCUGUUAUGAGCACUGAGCUCUUUAUGAGGCCCAGAGUUUAGAUCCUAGCACCCAUGUGACAAGCCAGGUCGCUGCACUCUGUAAAUGCCUAUAACUAGAUCUGAAGGAUCCAGUGCUAUAUUCUGAACUCCACACAUAUUCACAAACGUGCAUACAGACAAUACUAACACAUAAGAAAGUUUAGAUACAGGGAAAGAGCCAUUGUCAGAAUGUGUUUCAGGUAGAAUUACCCUUAGGACUCUUCAAGGAAAGAGAAAAGUCUUAUUUAAUCCAUUGUUAGGAGCAUAAUUACCAUGUUAUUUCACUUGCAGUCAGUGAUGAUUUCAGGUAUUUUAUUUAACAUGAUACAAAGGUACUGUGGGCAAUACCAAAUAAAACAUGAAUUGGGCUUUUGACUGAAAGUACUGAGUAUAAUGUUGGACCUCCUACCAACAUGAUUUGGUAAAGAGUUAAAGAAAUGAUUUCUUCUGUUGUUUUUGACAGAUAGGAAACUUAGUAGAGUCUUCCUACCUGAGCUUUAUCUCACGUUCACGUUUGUGCUGUAUUAGAAGUUACAAGCCUUUCUUUUCAGGAUGAUUCUGAGAAACUCCCUGGUGCCGCCCAAGUCUGUUUCAUGAUGUAAUAAGUUCUUGAGAAUUCUUAAGUCCAAAGGCCUUGCUCCUGAUUGUCCUGAAGAUUGAAAGCAUUGCUGUUCCCAAGCCUCUGAGAUGAACAUAAAGGACACGGAUGCUAAAUUCUACCUGAUUCUGAUAGAGCUGGAUUCACCGAUUGGUUCCUUGUUAUAAGCUUAAGUGGGUCUUUCAUCCAACUGCAAAUAUGAGCCUUCCUCAGCCUCUGCUCUGAUGGCAUACAUUUGCCUUGUGUACUAAAACAAUAAAAUCACUUUACAUUUUUAAAAACUGUUAGAAAAAUAGAACUAGAGCUUAAAAAUAAUAACCAGGCAUAGGAAGUAUACAGAUCUUGAGGCACCACACCCAGGUAACAAUUUAAAGUAGGAGAAGUUGGGGCUGGAGAGUUAGCUCAGCCUUUAAGAGCACUAGUCACUCGUGAAGAGGACCUAAGUUCUAUCACCAGCAUCCACAUGACAGAUCACAGCCAUCUUUAACUCUAGUCCCAAGAGAUCCAAUGCCCUUUUCUGACCUCCAUGGGUCCUAAGCAUGCUUUUGGAAAACAUGCAUAUAUGCAGGCAAAACACUCUUACACAUAAAAUAAUAAAAUCUUAAAAAAUUUAAAAAUAAGUAAUUUAGGAAAACUCAUUUUCUAAGAAAAAAAGAAAUUUUUAGAUCUAUGUUAAGGGAAUGUAGUAGCAGAAAAAGAUUGUCACGGUAGCUGUAUCUGUCAGACAUGUUGAGCUAAAUAGAAGAAAGCUUCAAGCAAAGGUCUGUAGUAUGCAUUAUACAGAUCUUGGGGGAAUCUGGGCUAAGAAUAAAAGGUAAAAUUAUAUCUCAAAGAGAAAACCCACCAGAACUUUUAGAAAUGCUGGAGGGACCACAUUGAAAAGACUGCUUUGGGAGGAAGUUGUGUGAGUUCCAAGUCUUUAAGGCUGGGUGUUUUAAGUUAAACUCAGCAUUGACUGAUUGCUCAGGACAAUGGGAUGAUGGAAUCAGAAAACAAGGUUUCUGUUCUCUGGAAAAUAGGAAUUUCACAUUUUCAAAACUCAAAAUGCAGUUAAAAUACAUUAUUUUAUCCUUUGCAGGAGAAUCUUAUGAGGACUAAAUAGGUAAUACACAUGAAAAUACUUUAUAUAGCUUUCCAUUUUAUCAUUUGAAAAAAACUUGCAUCUUACUAACAUCAUUUAAUGAAUCACAACGUAUAGAGUACAUAAAAUACAUCGUUGACUUUUCAAAAUGCACUUAAAAUAUUUUUAGAAAAUUAAAAUGUAAAAUGUAUACAUUGGUUUAGGUUCAACAAGUUGAAGACGAAAUGCGAGGACUUCUGGACGAAACAUGCAAGAACAAAAAAAUGAUGG
rnacentral:lncRNA from 1 species